GGGAGACCCCAUGGCGAGCACCCCGGGCCCUUAGGCUGGGCCACGCCAAACAGUCCUGCUGCGCGCUGGGGCGUCAGGUCGUCACCGAGUACGUCAUGACGUCACCACGUCCCAGGUGAUGGACUGCCCGAGCUCACCUGCCAGCUCCGGGGGUCCGAGGGGAACGUGGCCGGGGCUGGCGGGCGGGUCCGUGGAGGAGCCCGAAGGCCGUCACCACGUCGAGGCGUCACUGCGUCCCGGUGUCAUACGUCAUGAUGUCACGACGUCCCAGGCCCCGUGCACUCCAUGCCGCGGCUCAGAAUGACGAGCCGCAACGCUCCGCUGAUCAGGCAUUGGCCCCUCGGCAUCUGACGUCCGGGGAGGAGGGCACACCCCGUGCCUCCGGGGCGCAGCGGGCACACGGCAGGAUCGGCUCAGGCUCAGGGCCUGUGGGAAACAAGGGAACUCGCCGUUUUCUGACUCCACGAAUGUUUGUCUCAGACUCCAUUCGCCAUGUAGUCAGUCUGGCUUCCUCAGGUGACGCUGAAGGACCCAUCCCCCCCGCUCCCCGGAGGGAAUGCAGCCUCCCACGGAUUGCGAGCGAGUCCGAACUCUCCCCAGGAGAUUUCUCCUCAAACUCCUUGUGCCCACAUACAAUUGGU